GACGAACCGUGCGAACGUUGUUCGGAAUCACUGGGCUUAAAGGGCGCGUAGGCGGGCGGUCAAGCCCGGGGUGAAAUCGUUCGGCUCAACCGGACAAUUGCCUUGGGGACUGAUCGUCUUGAGGGAGGUAGGGGCAUGUGGAACUUCCGGUGGAGCGGUGAAAUGCGUUGAUAUCGGAAGGAACUCCGGUGGCGAAAGCGACGUGCUGGACCUCUUCUGACGCUGAGGCGCGAAAGCCAGGGGAGCGAACGGG
rnacentral:rRNA from 1 species